rnacentral:rRNA from 1 species
UACGAGGGGGGGCGAGCGUUGUUCGGAAUUAUUGGGCGUAAAGGGUGCGUAGGCGGUUCGGUAAGUUUCGUGUGAAAUCUUCGGGCUCAACUCGAAGUCUGCACGAGAUACUGCCGGGCUUGAGUGUGGGAGAGGUGAGUGGAAUUUCCGGUGUAGUGGUGAAAUGCGUAGAGAUCGGGAGGAACACCAGUGGCGAAGGCGGCUUGCUGGGCCGGACCUGACGCUGAGGCGCGAAGGCGUGGGGAGCGAACGGGAGUUAGA